rnacentral:rRNA from 1 species
AGUGAACACUGGCGGUAGGCCUAACACAUGCAAGUCGAACGGCAGCACAGUAAGAGCUUGCUCUUACGGGUGGCGAGUGGCGGACGGGUGAGGAAUACAUCGGAAUCUACUUUUUCGUGGGGGAUAACGUAGGGAAACUUACGCUAAUACCGCAUACGACCUACGGGUGAAAGCAGGGGAUCUUCGGACCUUGCGCGAUUGAAUGAGCCGAUGUCGGAUUAGCUAGUUGGCGGGGUAAAGGCCCACCAAGGCGACGAUCCGUAGCUGGUCUGAGAGGAUGGUCAGCCACACUGGAACUGAGACACGGUCCAGACUCCUACGGGAGGCAGCAGUGGGGAAUAUUGGACAAUGGGCGCAAGCCUGAUCCAGCCAUACCGCGUGGGUGAAGAAGGCCUUCGGGUUGUAAAGCCCUUUUGUUGGGAAAGAAAAGCAGCAGGUUAAUACCCCGCUGUUCUGACGGUACCCAAAGAAUAAGCACCGGCUAACUUCGUG